UACGUAGGGUGCGAGCGUUAAUCGGAAUUACUGGGCGUAAAGCGUGCGUAGGCGGCGCGUUAAGACAGGUGUGAAAGCCCCGAGCUUAACUUGGGAAUUGCGCUUGUGACUGGCGUGCUGGAGUGUGGCAGAGGGAGGUGGAAUUCCACGUGUAGCAGUGAAAUGCGUAGAGAUGUGGAGGAACACCGAUGGCGAAGGCAGCCUCCUGGGCCAGCACUGACGCUCAUGCACGAAAGCGUGGGGAGCAAACAGG
rnacentral:rRNA from 1 species